rnacentral:rRNA from 1 species
ACGAACGCUGGCGGCGUGCUUAACACCUGCAAGUCGAACGGAAAGGCCCUGCUUUUGUGGGGUGCUCGAGUGGCGAACGGGUGAGUAACACGUGAGUAACCUGCCCUUGACUUUGGGAUAACUUCAGGAAACUGGGGCUAAUACCGGAUAGGAGCUCCUGCUGCAUGGUGGGGGUUGGAAAGUUUCGGCGGUUGGGGAUGGACUCGCGACUUAUCAGCUUGUUGGUGGGGUAGUGGCUUACCAAGGCUUUGACGGGUAGCCGGCCUGAGAGGGUGACCGGCCACAUUGGGACUGAGAUACGGCCCAGACUCCUACGGGAGGCAGCAGUGGGGAAUAUUGCACAAUGGGCGGAAGCCUGAUGCAGCAACGCCGCGUGCGGGAUGACGGCCUUCGGGUUGUAAACCGCUUUCGCCUGUGACGAAGCGUGAGUGACGGUAAUGGGUAAAGAAGCACCGGCUAACUACGUG